UGCGAAGGGGGCUAGCGUUGUUCGGAAUUACUGGGCGUAAAGCGUAUGCAGGCGGAUCGUUAAGUCGGGGGUGAAAUCCCGAGGCUCAACCUCGGAACUGCCUUCGAUACUGGCGAUCUUGAGUCCGGGAGAGGUGAGUGGAACUCCGAGUGUAGAGGUGAAAUUCGUAGAUAUUGGGAAGAACACCGGUGGCGAAGGCGGCGCUCUGGACCGAGACUGACGCUGAGGCGCGAAGGCGUGGGGAGCAAACAGG
rnacentral:rRNA from 1 species